CCUUGGGAGGUGUCCGGCCGCCGCCGCCGCCUCAGUCUUGGGCUGACAGCCAGCAGAGGUAGUUCCUUGGGCGGUGUCCGGCCGCCGCCGCCGCCUCAGUCUUGGGCUGACAGCCAGCAGAGGUAGUUCCUUGGGCGGUGUCCUGCUUCUUGCUUCUAUUGCAGCUACACCGGUCAUCAGGCGGGUGUGGAUUUCUGUAGUGUAAUUCAAGGAACAAAUUUUAUCUGAAUUACUUCGGUUACGACCGGGUAUCUGGAUCCGGCUUGACAAUGGCAGUCUUCACGCUUAAGAAAUAACUUGAAGUGAACGGAGGACUAGUCAGAAGGGGAACGCAACUGGUUCUGACGUGACAUAGCUGCAAGUCUCGACAGAGGUGGUUGGACGGUGUUCAACACGGGGCGCCUGUCAACGUUGCUGGAAUAUCUGAAA